AAGUCGUAACAAGGUCUCCGUAGGUGAACCUGCGGAGGGAUCAUUAACACGUUUCUAACGUUACCAACCAAACGCGAACCGAAGCGAAAAGCGUAAAAAACUUAGUAGCUUCAAUCGACCUGAAAGAAAGUAAUCGUUUAGUUUCACUCGUGAUGGGCGAAAUUUUGACUGGCGCAAGCUGGAAGAAAAAGUAGCGGUGAAAUUGAACUUACAUAGCUCGACUAUGAAGGUUACUUUCUAUCAGGUUAAACCCUAUUUCUUUUCAUCACAGGAAAGCCAAAAACCAAUUUCACCCCCUAUGUUAAUUGACUGAAUCACAUUGAAUGGGAGAAAUCCUGUCUAAUGUCUAAACAAAACAAAAAGCACAACUCUUAGCAACGGAUAUCUAGGUUCUC
rnacentral:misc_RNA from 1 species